CUGAGGUAGGCGGAAUGAGUAAUGUAGCGGUGAAAUGCUUAGAUAUUACUCAGAACACCGAUUGCGUAGGCAGCUUACCAAACCGACACUGACGCUGAGGCACGAAAGCGUGGGGAGCGAACAGGAUUAGAUACCCUGGUAGUCCACGCCGUAAACGUUGAUUACUCGUUGUUGGCAAUACAUCGUCAGCGACUGAGCGAAAGCAUUAAGUAAUCCACCUGGGGAGUACGUCAGCAAUGAUGAAACUCAAAGGAAUUGACGGGGGCCCGCACAAGCGGAGGAACAUGUGGUUUAAUUCGAUGAUACGCGAGGAACCUUACCUGGGCUUAAAUGUAGAGUGCAUAGAGUGGAAACAUUCCUUUCCUUCGGGACUCUUUACAAGGUGCUGCAUGGUUGUCGUCAGCUCGUGCCGUGAGGUGUCGGGUUAAGUCCCAUAACGAGCGCAACCCUCAUCGCCAGUCGCCAUCACAUCAUGGUGGGGACUCUGGUGAAACUGCCGGUGCAAACCGUGAGGAAGGUGAGGAUGACGUCAAAUCAGCACGGCCCUUAUGUCCAGGGCUACACACGUGUUACAAUGGUCGGUACAACGGGCAGCUACACAGCGAUGUGUGCUAAUCCUAAAAACCGAUCUUAGUUCGGAUCGGAGUCUGCAACUCGACUCCGUGAAGCUGGAUUCGCGUAGUAAUCGCACAUCAGCCAUGGUGCGG
rnacentral:rRNA from 1 species